rnacentral:lncRNA from 1 species
CCAAAAGUUAUUUCUCCACAAAAUAGUUAUAUACGAGUGUGAGCAGUGUUAAAAAAUUGCCAUAAUUAAACACAUAAACCAUAGCUAACAGAAAGCAUACCAUACCAAUCAAUAAUUGCAUUGGAUUAAACAUCUCAUAGCAUUUUAUAAUGAUAUAUUGGCAAAUUGUGACUAUCACUACAGGAAAACAGACUUUUAGCGGUAUUUUUUUUAGCCUUAAAGCGCCGCUAGAACUAUUAGCGGCGUUUUCACAAGCGCCG